rnacentral:rRNA from 1 species
UACGUAGGGUGCAAGCGUUGUCCGGAAUUAUUGGGCGUAAAGAGCUCGUAGGCGGUCUGUCACGUCGGCUGUGAAAUCCCGAGGCUCAACUUCGGGUCUGCAGUCGAUACGGGCAAACUAGAGUAUUGCAGGGGAGACUGGAAUUCCUGGUGUAGCGGUGAAAUGCGCAGAUAUCAGGAGGAACACCGGUGGCGAAGGCGGGUCUCUGGGCAAUAACUGACGCUGAGGAGCGAAAGCGUGGGGAGCGAACAGG